GCCAGGUGUGGUGGUGGGCACCUGUAAUCCCAGCUACUCGGGAGGCUGAGGCAGGAGAAUUGCUUGAACCCAGGAGGCAGAAGAUGUAGUGAGCCGAGAUCACACCACUGCACUCUAGCCUGGGUGACAAAGCAAGACCCUGUCUCGG
rnacentral:sRNA from 1 species